GACGAACGCUGGCGGCGUGCUUAACACAUGCAAGUCGAACGGUGAAGGGGUCUGCUUUUGUGGGCCCUGGAUGAGUGGCGAACGGGUGAGUAACACGUGAGUAACCUGCCCCCUUCUUCUGGAUAACCGCAUGAAAGUGUGGCUAAUACGGGAUAUUCUGGGUCUGUCGCAUGAUGGGUCUGGGAAAGAUUGCGCCUUUGGGUGUUUUUGGUGGGGGAUGGGCUCGCGGCCUAUCAGCUUGUUGGUGGGGUGAUGGCCUACCAAGGCGGUGACGGGUAGCCGGCCUGAGAGGGUGGACGGUCACACUGGGACUGAGACACGACCCAGACUCCUACGGGAGGCAGCAGUGGGGAAUAUUGCACAAUGGGCGCAAGCCUGAUGCAGCGACGCCGCGUGAGGGAUGGAGGCCUUCGGGUUGUAAACCUCUUUCGCCAGUGAAGCAGGCCUGCUCCUUGUGGGUGGGUUGACGGUAGCUGGAUAAGAAGCGCCGGCUAACUACGUG
rnacentral:rRNA from 1 species